CAAAGAAUAGUUUAAAUUAAAAUAUUAGUUUUGGGGAUUAAUGAUAGGGGUAUCCUUUUCUUUGA
rnacentral:tRNA from 1 species